UCAUGACCUGAGCUGAAGUCGGAUGCUCAACUGACUGAGCCAGCCAGGCACCCCACACUUUGAUAGAUUUUUAAAUUAAAUCUUGAAAUUGAAAUAUAGAACGUUUUCCUGGACAAUUGUGAACUCUUGGUAGAGAAACAAUUUCCUUAUUUCUGACAGUUUUAGAAGGGAGUUGAUAGGAUCUUCUAGACAGAGCCAGUGAAGUUUCUACUAUGACAUGUUUUCCGGUUCCUUCCUGGUAUGUUCUCUUUUGUAUUGAACGUAAAAAGUGGUUUCAAAGUAGCAUCCGUGUUCCGUCAUUUCAAGUCCAUUGCACUUGCAGCCUGUGAGUGGGAUGCUCCCCAUCAGGUGUUGAGUGGUGUCGUGGUCCUGGGACAGCUCAGGCGUCACAGCCCCGGCCCCAGCCCUGGUCCCCAGGAGUAGCCGUGUGAGCUCAUGCAAGGCAGAAGGGAUGUGCAGGCUGAGCUUGUGCGGGCCCGUAGAGGGAAGGGGACACAGCCAGACGUCUGGCCUCACGUGACUGAUGUAAGGAGGCCGCACUGCGUUUCCACUCCCUGCAAUUAUUUGGACUGUGCUGUGGGACCGUCUGGAUGUCAUAGUGCAGUAUCGUGAACAUGGUCUGAAUUUGAUUUUAAUGAUGUAUAUCAGUGUGAAAACAUGACACGGGGCCUUGUCUUUGUACAUUUGUGUGUGCAUAUGUAAUUUCAGGGGGGGUGGUUAUAUUUUAUUUUCACAAACACAAACCUUUUUUAACUGGUAAGUUCAUAUUCUGUGCCUUAAAAUGCAAUUGUUAAAAAGUGUUUUAAUUCUCAUUGUCAUGGGAAGGAAGGUCCUACACGCCAAACUGCCCGCUCCAUCCAGAGGACAUCGGAGAGAAAGACGUGUAGAGAAAGAGUG